GUUCGCCACGCUGUCUUACCGGACACACUCUUGGCUCUACUUAGAGCCUAGCACCUUGAGAGGCUGACCCUUCCAAUAAAACCAGCAAGAUAACUGCUUAAGGCCAUGGACAAGAGAGCAGGGACUUCUGCAUAAGGAAAGUUCCCGAGCAAGUCUGGCUAUCAUCAGAGCCAGCCAGAGGAUGUGAGACCCCCUGAAACUGGAGUUACAGAGAUGUCAUGGACAGAGUGUGCACCUAUCCUGGACAGAAUCACUUUGGGAGAAGAGAGAAGAUUGCUGGAGUUAGCACAUCAGCAUUCGGCCUCUCAUUGCUGUCAGCACACACCUCAUGACGAGCAUUUCAAGAGGCUUUGCCGAAUGCCUGGAGCUCUGCUGUCUCCUCCAGUUCCAUCAAAACCACGGAAAACUAUAAAUCGAAAAAGACCACUGGUGGUUAACGUAGAGAGAAGGCAAAGCCAGCAAAACCCUCAGCUGUGCCUUGAAGUUGAGAGCCAGGCUGGGGUCCCACGCUAGGUUCUCAGAGCCAGGUGUGAAGGCCAGGGUGGAGGAGUGAGACAGGCACUUGGGAAGCUGAGGCAGGAGGAUCCUGAGUUCAAGGCCAAUUUGGGGUACAUAAUAAAACCUUGCUCCAGCAAGGUGGUGGUGCACACCAUUAAUCCCAGCA